AGUGAACGCUGGCGGUAGGCCUAACACAUGCAAGUCGAACGGCAGCACAGUAAGAGCUUGCUCUUACGGGUGGCGAGUGGCGGACGGGUGAGGAAUACAUCGGAAUCUACUUUUUCGUGGGGGAUAACGUAGGGAAACUUACGCUAAUACUGCAUACGACCUACGGGUGAAAGCAGGGGAUCUUCGGACCUUGCGCGAUUGAAUGAGCCGAUGUCGGAUUAGCUAGUUGGCGGGGUAAAGGCCCACCAAGGCGACGAUCCGUAGCUGGUCUGAGAGGAUGAUCAGCCACACUGGAACUGAGACACGGUCCAGACUCCUACGGGAGGCAGCAGUGGGGAAUAUUGAACAAUGGGCGCAAGCCUGAUCCAGCCAUACCGCGUGGGUGAAGAAGGCCUUCGGGUUGUAAAGCCCUUUUGUUGGGAAAGAAAAGCAGCAGGUUAAUACCCCGCUGUUCUGACGGUACCCAAAGAAUAAGCACCGGCUAACUUCGUG
rnacentral:rRNA from 1 species